CGUCUCCCUUGAGGUCUCUUUUCACCGCGGGCUUCCAAAUGCUGCCGCAAAUGGUCCGAAAAGCACCAACCUUGAGCCUUUCUGGUCACUAUUCCAGUGCCGUAGCCCGACUUCGUCCCUCCCUCAGGCUCCCAAGGAGAGUCGGCCCUCGGCUCGAAUACAGACUGAAGACAAUCCCUGAUGUGCCCCUCACCCCCAAGCACCGCAACAUACCUGGCUGUGCAAGCCGCCUCCUUCCAGCAGCCUGCACGCCUCCCGCCCACCUGGUUCAGGUGGCUGGGUCACAGUCCCAUGAACAAGAGUGGGACCUUGGGGGACAGCCCACCAUGAGCUCUCAAGGCUUGAGGUUGACUGCAGAUUUGUGCCAGCUGGGAGGAUAAAGAGGUUUGGUAGCCAGGGAGGCCUCUGGCUGCUGCAGAAGAGGAUCAAGAAGGUUCCGGACAGUGGGGAAGAGCCAACACAGCUGUCCAGGUCAGACACCCGACCGGGCAUUCUCCAGGGCAGGCCAGGUUCCAAGCUAUUUCUGGAGUUUUCACCAGGCUCAUGCCCUGGCCUGCCCAGGAGUCAGCCUUGCUCAGAGUAGCUUUGCACAAAUCUCAGGAAGAGAGUUACAAGUGGGCCGCCAUGGGAGGGGCAGGGAUGCCUAGGACAGUGAGCUCCUGCAUGAAUCCUUCCCCCAAACACUCUCCACUAACAAAGUCUGGGGCUCAGUUUGCACCCUGACAAGAUGGGAACAAAGGCAGACUUGCAGUGAAGGAGAGAGGGAGAGAGGGAGAAAGACUAACAAACAAGGCCUUAGGGAAGGGCCUGACACUGAAGGGAAGGUGAGGCUUGAAUUAGGCCUGUGGCCACACCCACUUCCUGUCCUACAGUGCCUUCUGCCUUGGCUUGAACUCACAGCUCAGAAUGUGAAGAAACUUGCCCAAACUCACAAAGCCAAUGACAAACCACAGGUAGGGCAGUGACCUCAUAACUUUCUGCAAAUGUAAUCACUGUCUGUGGCUUCUCAAUUAGUUGACCCACAGUCCACGAUUAGGAUUGACUGCGAUGCCCAUCGUGCUGUGUAUAUAAUUCCCACCCAGACCCUUUGCUCAGUAAUCCACGUUCCUCUUGGUGCCGCAUGAGUAUCUAAGGAGUUUCUGAUUAUUUCCCAUCAGUCCCUACUGAUGGCCACUCUGUGUCUGUCCACAGCACCUGUCAUUUUGCAUAGAGUGAGGUAGCUGGAUGGGGGAGUGAGUGUGUGUGUGUGUGUGUGUGUGUGUGUGUGUGUGUGUGUGUGUGUGUGUGUAUUAACAGUGCCUAUGCUGGCUCUGCUGGCCAGAGUCCACCUGAGUGACACCACCCUAUCCUGCUCCACCCCCCCCCCCAGUACAAUACACACCAAAUGGCCAACAGAUGUUGGCUUUGAUCAUCUUGAGUCUGCAAGUUUGGGGCACCCUGAUAAUUUGUGCCCGUGUUAAGCAUCUCACGUGCCUGACACAUUCCACUGGGGAAGAUAAUAAACCGCCUAAUAAGAUACCUCGUGCAUAAUAUGGAACAGACGCUACUGAGAAAAGCAGGACACUCAGGGAGGGACCAGGCUACAGGAAGCUUGACGAUGUGGAAAGAAAUGAGGCAGCGGUAUAACUCAUCUAGUAGACGCUCGCUUAGCAGAAACCAAGCCCUGGGUUCUAUCCUGAAAAGGCAUAAAACUGGUGUGCAGGUGGCACACGCUUGUCAUCAGAGGACGCUGAUUUAGGAAGAUGGAGAGUUCAAGACCAGCCUGGUAUAAAUAGUAAGAAUGAGGCCAGCUAGGGCCAUACAAAAGUUAGGGUGGGGAGCAUGACACAAACACAGAUGGACAAACACAGAUGGACAAACACAGCUCCUCCAGGGCCAGAAUGAGGCUCAGAGAAAGGGUAGUUCCCCUCAGGAGAGAUCCUUCAUCGAAUGGGCGAUUCCCUGUAUCAAGAACUGAAGACGAUUGCAUAGUUAAGUCUGUGACUUUGAGCAAGAGCCUCAACUUCUCAGAACCUCAGAUUCCCCACCUACGAAAGAAGAUCAACAGCAGGAGAGUAGAUAAAAGUACAGCCUAAAUUAGAUGCUCCACUUGGGAGGGCCUGACCCUGCACCCAACUCUAAAGUCCAAUUCCAGCAACUCUGGCUUAGAGGCACCUCCAAUGCAUACAAGCGCAGGCGGGCGGGCGCGCACAGACCCACAUGACUUCCAGAGCCUUUGGAUCUGUAGUCCUAGGGAAUCCACCCUGCCCCGCCCCUUCCCCCCAAGGAGGGCCCUCAAAGCGGGAAGCCCUGGAACUCCAGACUCUUUAGGCAGAAAGCUUCCAAUGGGGAGGGAAAGACUAUAUUCUGAAGGGGAACUCCAAGGGCCGGUAGGGCAGGGUUGCCUAGUCAGGAGAUCCCCUGAGCCAUGUCCUCCCAAUAGGCCCCUGAAAGAGUAAGCCGGUGGGGUACUCUGAUUUGCUAGGAGCGGGGGCUGCAAGAUGGGACAGUGGAACAACCUGGAUUCUCUGCUGGCCCCCCUGGGCUGGACACUAGACAUGAGCUCUCCUCUGUCGACCCCCUAUGCUGAAACACUUGCCCGGGUUGAUGCGUGGACACUGCCUAAGGACCCCCGCCCCCUUACCCCAUGCUCACCCGCAGCCCACGCCCGGAGGAAUCCCGCUCCUCGCUGGCUGCAGAGGCUGACAGCUGAUGGUCCCCGCGGACCUGAGGAGGUCACAGCGUGUGGAGACCGGUCGGCUCUUCCGAGCGAGAGGUCCCGGCCGUCCCACAAUCCCGCCGGGAGACCGUCCCCAGGGCCCAGAGGAAAGGGAAGUGAGCCCGCCGUCCCCGUCGCUGCAAUGGUUCGCCCCGGACUUCCUGAUUGGCCGGUCGCUUCCGUUCGAACGGCGCGCCAGCCGGGUUGCCAGGCAACAUCAGGAGCGGCAGAUGCAACCCAGCGGCUGCUGCCCUGAGCCCAGCUGGUCGCUCGGCCUUCCGGCUGCCCAGGCCUUGGCAGAUCUUUCUUCUCCUCUUCCAGCUGGAUUUCCUCGGUCUCCAGCUGCAAGCAAGGGUUGCUAGUCCCAAAUUUGUUUGGUUUUGCACAGACCCUAGUACCAACAUUUUUGAGUUUUGAGGCAGGGCCUUGACACAUAACUGGCCGCAGCCUCCGUGAUACUAGGAUUUUAGGUCUAUACCACACCUGACCCUCUCUUCACUUUUUUUUCUUUUUGAGACAGGGUCUCACUAAGUUGCCCAGGCUGACCUUAAAUUCAUGCUUUUGUCUCAAAUUUGCUAUAUCUGCCUGCCUCAGUACAUCUACCCAUGAGUUGGUAUUAAAUGCCCAGCCACCAAGCUGGACCCUACUCCCAACUCAGCAGCUACCUCUUUGUGUGUUUUCCCACAAUCCUCUUUCCCUGUCUGUUCCCCUAACUGCAAUGAUAAAUCAGUUUUUAAAUGCACACAUCAGUAGUUCCCACGGUGCUUAUCAAAACCAGAUCAGUUAUAGUAUAGAAGUCCGUCCUGGGAAGAAGCUGAAUUGAGUUUUCUACAUAAUUCUUCUCAGUACUCAUGACCUAGCUCCGAGG